rnacentral:ncRNA from 22 species
CUAUCAUCGAGAAAGGUGGAGGGACUGGCCCUGAGAAGCCUUGGCAACCGUCAUUCCUGUAAUGAUUGGUGCCAAUUCCAUCCUGGCAGGGACGCCGGGAAAGAUGACGG